rnacentral:lncRNA from 13 species
CCUUUCUAUUAAUUUAUAUUUUGGCACCAAUUCUCUUUUGGUUUUGCAAAACCUAAUUAGGCAACAGACCUCAACAUGGGUGUUGGAAUGGCCUACUGCGGUGGUGGCAUAUGGCCGGAAUGGUGUGCUCUUUAUGGAUAACCUGUAAAAUAGAUUCAAAAUAGACUAAAAUGAAAAAUCUAAAAUGAUAUUCAAAUAUAAGUACGCAGUUUUUUCAAUUGUUAGGCCUUUUGUGUAAACAAAUCAGUAGUGUUGCAUGUUUGCGGUGUGAGUCAUCAUCACAGUCCCCACAAGCAUUUUGAGCCUAUUCCAGCUGGACACAUUUUUUAAAUAUUACUCAUAUGCAUUUUGUUUUUCCAAGCAUGCUUUCAUUACUUAUCUCAACGACAAUAUGCCUACAAAUCGAUUGAUUCACAACCUUUCGUAGGACAAUUAAGUUAUCUAAAUGACUUGUCGAAACAGUGACAUCACAUCAUUAUAGACCAAGUAAUAGUACAUUUGUAUUUCAGUUAUAUCAGUCUAUGACAACGCCCUCAUCCGGCGACUAACUGCAAUUGAACGUGAACAGAACUGUAUACCCGCUCUCAGACUUCCCAGCUGUCAUUCUCUAGAAGAUGGCGGACUGCGAUUCACUGUUAGAUGAGGAGCUCUCUUCUUUUGUCUUCAAUUACCUGACAGAAAACUCAGGCAGCCAGGGGACUGGAGUCACAUCCCUUCACUCUGGCUUAUUCCCCAAACCACUACCAGAGGACUGCCAGCACUGCUGCUAUGUAGUAGAAUAUCCCAGUUUUACUACCAGAGGACUGCUGCUCUGUAGUAGAAUAUCCCAGUUUUACUACCAAAGGACUGCCAACACUGCUGCUCUGUAGUAGAAUAUCCCAGUUUUACUACCAGAGGACUGCUGCUCUGUAGUAGAAUAUCCCAGUUUUACUACCAAAGGACUGCCAACACUGCUGCUCUGUAGUAGAAUAUCCCAGUUUUACUACCAGAGGACCCCCAGCACUGCGCUCUGUAGUAGAAUAUCCCAGUUUUACUACCAGAUGACUGCUUCUCUGUAGUAGAAUAUCCCAGUUUUACUACCAGAGGACUGCUUCUCUGU